AGCAUCUAUACGGUGAACUGCGAAUGGCUCAUUAAAUCAGUUAUCGUUUAUUUGAUAGUACCUUACUACUKGGAUAACCGUGGUAAUUCUAGAGCUAAUACMUGCUAAAAACCCCGACUUACGGAGGGGUGUAUUUAUUAGAURAAAAACCAAUGCCCUUCGGGGCUCCCUGGUGAUUCAUAAUAACUUAACGAAUCGCAUGGCCUUGUGCCGGCGAUGGUUCAUUCAAAUUUCUGCCCUAUCAACUUUCGAUUGUAAGGUCUUGGCUUACAAUGGUUUCAACGGGUAACGGGGAAUUAGGGUUCUAUUCCGGAGAGUGAGCCUGAGAAACGGCUAACACAUCCAAGGAAGGCAGCAGGCGCGCAAAUUACCCAAUCCCGACACGGGGAGGUAGUGACAAUAAAUACUGAUACAGGGCUCUUUUGGGUCUUGUAAUUGGAAUGAGUACAAUUUAAAUCCCUUAACGAGGAACAAUUGGAGGGCAAGUCUGGUGCCAGCAGCCGCGGUAAUUCCAGCUCCAAUAGCGUAUAUUAAAGUUGUUGCAGUUAAAAAGCUCGUAGUUGAACCUUGGGCCUGGCUGGCCGGUCCGCCUCACCGCGUGCACUGGUCCGGCCGGGUCUUUCCUUCUGGGGAGCCGCAUGCCCUUCACUGGGUGUGUCGGGGAACCAGGACUUUUACUUUGAAAAAAUUAGAGUGUUCAAAGCAGGCCUAUGCUCGAAUACAUUAGCAUGGAAUAAUAGAAUAGGACGUGUGGUUCUAUUUUGUUGGUUUCUAGGACCGCCGUAAUGAUUAAUAGGGAUAGUCGGGGGCAUCAGUAUUCAAUUGUCAGAGGUGAAAUUCUUGGAUUUAUUGAAGACUAACUACUGCGAAAGCAUUUGCCAAGGAUGUUUUCAUUAAUCAGUGAACGAAAGUUAGGGGAUCGAAGACGAUCAGAUACCGUCGUAGUCUUAACCAUAAACUAUGCCGACUAGGGAUCGGGCGAUGUUAUCUUUUGACUCGCUCGGCACCUUACGAGAAA
rnacentral:rRNA from 1 species